UAGAUAGAUAGAUAGAUAGAUAGAUGAAUGGAUGAAUAAAUGAAUGAAUGGAUAGAAGGAUAGGAGAAAAGAAAAAAAUUAUAUUUUCCUAAAAGAAAAAUAUUCCCUUUUGGGGAGUAUUUAUCGAGGUUCGUGUAUUAGGGGCUUGAUUACAUUUAUGGGUCCGAUCAAUUAUCACUAUCUCUACUUUCAUACUCGCGAGAGAGAGAGAGAGAGAGAGAGAGAGAGAGAGAGAGAGAGAGAGAGAGAGAGAGAAAGAGAGAGAGAGAGAGACAGAGAGAGAGAGAGAGAGAGAGAGAGAGAGAGAGAAAGUUUGAAACAAUAGUAUCUUCCAAAGCUAAAUGCACUAAGGGAAGGUUAAGGAGGGUUCGCGUAUGCCUUUGUAAAACUGUCAUUUUGUGAUGUUCUUAUUAAUACAAUGAGAGAGACAUCGUAAACAAAAAAGUUUGAUGUUGGCUCUUUAACGUUUAUUAAUUAUGAUUAAUCGUUUUUAAGAGUCUUCGUGGUCAAGUAACAGGGUUGCAGUUGCAUUAUAUAUAAAGUAGUCUCUCUCCUUCCUAGAGUUAAAUUAAAAAAAGAAAAAAAGUAAAGGAAAUAUAUUGAUACAGCGAAUAAUAUUGAAACAGUCUCGAUUCUAUUCUUUUCAAGAUGUAUCCUGAUGAGACUUGCUCUCAAGAAGUUGUAUUUGAUAAAUAAUUUGUAACUAUUAAUGGAAUAUGCAGGUAUAUUAUGAAUGAAUAGUGCCUGGCACCACUUGUGGCCCUCCUGUUAGGGUGCUUUCCUGAAAUGUUCUGUGCAAUAUUAAUUGUUGCUAUGUGUUAGAGAGAUAAAGAGAGAUAAAAAAUUAUGUACACGGUCUGAUAACUGUAAGGAGAAUGAUCAGCUGAUUUUAAAUCUACCGGUUAAAAAUUGGUGGAUAAAGCAGGGUUUCAUGGGAAAGCAACCUGUUAUUAUUAUGUAGAAAAAAAAAAAACAAAAUGAAGAGAUUAUAUAAAAAAAGUAAUAUAAUCUUGAAUAUAUAUAUAUAUGAUCAGUUUCUUUACACUGCAUAUUAGGUAUGUUUCAGAUGACUGUACGAACAAUCGGUAUAUAAAAUAUAAAGAAAAAUCUAUAUAUACGUAUAGUCUCUCCUAACGUAAUCACACAAAUUUUUAAAAUGAUCACAAAGUGCAAUCUCUUAGCCAACACACUUUUUUAUCAAACGAAAGAAAAAAAAAAAGUAUAAAGAACUUGUUAUUUUUCAUAAUGAAGAAGUAAAAUUUAAUGUAUUGAAAAAAAAAAAUAUAUAUAUAUAUAUGUCUUCACUAGUUAUUAAACUUUUCCUAUUGACACACACGAAAAAUUUAUUAUAUUUAAUUGAUAUUUUAUUAGUAUAUCACACAUGAAAAUAUGUAUAAAUAUCUGACAUUAUAAAUUCUUGCAAUGUAAAGAGAAAAUGAAAGAGCAAGAUAAGUGUCUGGUCUAGAUGUCUUGUAAACUGCUUUUUUAUAUAUAUAUAUAUAUUACUUUCUUUUUCCUAUUUUCUAUUUAUUAAUUAUUCGAAGUGAGAUUGCAAUAUCCUGAAAUCAGCACAAUUCAAUUAUUCUCUUUUGCACAAACAUUUUUAUACUCUUUAUUUGAGAAUAAAGUAAGAAAAGAAGAAUAAAAAAGAUCAUUCAUUAAAAUUCAAUAUUCGCAAGUUCAAAAUGCAAUUCGGUCAAUGAAUUUGUCAUCAUUAUAUUUAUUCUGCGUAUAACUCUAGCAGCAUUGUUUUAGUUUAAAUUAAUUAGUUUAAUUAUCAUUGUUAACAUUUCGAAUUGAUUAAAGAAAAAAAGGAAGCCGUAAACAAAAUAUGAAACAACAGAUUUCGAACAAAAUUUUACUCGUUAAAUUCGAAAUUAAAAGAGAAAUACUUAUAUAUAUAUAUAUAUUGUACGAUACAUCUCGUUAUCACUUCUGACAUUUUUAUCAUGCAUAAUGAGCUUAAUGGAAAGUAAUUUACCAGUUUUUACACCAACACUUAUAUAAAUGAUCACAAUGUGAUGUAAAAGCAUGCUCAGUACUUUAUAUAUAUGCAAGAUUUAUUAAUGUACUAUCGGAUCUAUUUUAUCAUAAAAAUACGAUAUAGUAAAUGCAUAGUAAGCAUCUAACUAUAAGCGUCUUGUUAAAUGUACGUUAAGUACAUGUACGUAAUGUACGUUUCAAUGUAUAUUUUUAAUAUGGAGUACGUGUAAGUUAUAUAUCAACAAAAGAUAUAAGUUGAUGUAAUUAAAGGCAAAAAAGGAAAAACAAAUGUAUUCCUCUUGGUGGGCACAACCGGUGACUGUAAGAUAUUAAUAUUUUGUCAAAAUAUUGGAUCGCGCACUUAUAAUUAGAUUGUAAUUCUAAGAAAAGGGUUUUGAACCUUUGAUAAGUUUUUUUUUCUCUCUCUUUUUUGUUGUUUACGUUUGUUUACAAUAGGAGUUAUUAUAUAAUAGAUGCUUGUAAAGAUUUU